rnacentral:rRNA from 1 species
ACUCAAAGGAAUAGACGGGGGCUCACACAAGCGGUGGAGGAUGUGGCUUAAUUCGAGGCUACGCGAAGAACCUUAUCCUAGUCUUGACAUUGUUUAGAACCCUCCUGAAAGGGAGGGGUGCCCGCAAGGGAGCUUUACAACAGGUGCUGCAUGGCUGUCGUCAGCUCGUGUCGUGAGAUGUCGGGUUAAGUCCCUUAACGAGCGAAACCCUUGUCCUUAGUUACCAGCGGGUCAUGCCGGGGACUCUAAGGAGACUGCCGGUGUUAAACCGGAGGAAGGUGGGGAUGACGUCAAGUCCUCAUGGCCUUUAUGAUUAGGGCUGCACACGUCCUACAAUGGUGCAUACAAAGCGACGCAAACUCGUGAGAGCCAGCAAAUCGCAAAAAAUGUACCUCAGUUCGGAUUGCAGGCUGCAACUCGCCUGCAUGAAGCUGGAAUCGCUAGUAAUCGCGGGUCAGCAUACCGCGGUGAAUGUGUUCCUGAGCCUUGCACACACCGCCCGU